rnacentral:rRNA from 1 species
UGGCUCAGGAUGAACGCUGGCGGCGUGCCUAAUACAUGCAAGUCGAGCGAACGGACGAGAAGCUUGCUUCUCUGAUGUUAGCGGCGGACGGGUGAGUAACACGUGGAUAACCUACCUAUAAGACUGGGAUAACUUCGGGAAACCGGAGCUAAUACCGGAUAAUAUUUUGAACCGCAUGGUUCAAAAGUGAAAGACGGUCUUGCUGUCACUUAUAGAUGGAUCCGCGCUGCAUUAGCUAGUUGGUAAGGUAACGGCUUACCAAGGCAACGAUGCAUAGCCGACCUGAGAGGGUGAUCGGCCACACUGGAACUGAGACACGGUCCAGACUCCUACGGGAGGCAGCAGUAGGGAAUCUUCCGCAAUGGGCGAAAGCCUGACGGAGCAACGCCGCGUGAGUGAUGAAGGUCUUCGGAUCGUAAAACUCUGUUAUUAGGGAAGAACAUAUGUGUAAGUAACUGUGCACAUCUUGACGGUACCUAAUCAGAAAGCCACGGCUAACUACGUGCCAGCAGCCGCGGUAAUACGUAGGUGGCAAGCGUUAUCCGGAAUUAUUGGGCGUAAAGCGCGCGUAGGCGGUUUUUUAAGUCUGAUGUGAAAGCCCACGGCUCAACCGUGGAGGGUCAUUGGAAACUGGAAAACUUGAGUGCAGAAGAGGAAAGUGGAAUUCCAUGUGUAGCGGUGAAAUGCGCAGAGAUAUGGAGGAACACCAGUGGCGAAGGCGACUUUCUGGUCUGUAACUGACGCUGA